UACGUAGGGUGCAAGCGUUGUCCGGAAUUAUUGGGCGUAAAGAGCUCGUAGGCGGUUCGUCACGUCGGCUGUGAAAACCUGAGGCUCAACCUCAGGCCUGCAGUCGAUACGGGCGGACUUGAGUACUGCAGGGGAGACUGGAAUUCCUGGUGUAGCGGUGAAAUGCGCAGAUAUCAGGAGGAACACCGGUGGCGAAGGCGGGUCUCUGGGCAGUAACUGACGCUGAGGAGCGAAAGCGUGGGGAGCGAACAGG
rnacentral:rRNA from 1 species